rnacentral:lncRNA from 1 species
AUUAAUUAUUCUACAACGAUUUGAAAUAGUGAGUGACAUUAUUUUAUAGUUUGUGGGUGAAGUUUAAAUCGCGAUUAAGGUGUGUUCCGGUUACCGCCGGUUAACAAUAAAUAUAUUUGAUAAAUAUUAAAACUGUGAAGUUUAGAGUAAUAUAUAUGGUUAAGUUACUGGAUAAUCCUGGAAAGUAGAAAUUUCCAGUUUACAAUACGAAAAUUAAUCGAGCAAGUACCAAUCAACAAAAUACAGCAGAAGAAAACAGAGAUCUAACUACGUU